GGGCAGUUCUGAAGGAUGGAGUGUACUCCAACAACCUCAAUUUCUGCCUCCCUAAGAAUUUGUACCCAGCAGUCGUACAAUGGGCACACGGACCUGCACAUUUAUCAAAGGAUCUAAUGAAUGCUCUUGUACAAAAUACUACCUCACUGUCCCCAUAUGAGAUUCUAUUUGGGACUGCACCUAGGCUAGGUUGCUAUUUUCCCCAGCAAUUACAACUUCAUACUGAUGUUUUAGUAAACUAUGUAACUGAACUCGCAAAUGCUUUGAACAAAAUCCAUGCCCAAGUUUUCUCUUCAAUUCCAGAUCCUGAUUCUGACACAGGCAACCACAGUCUGCUCCCCGGUGACUGGGUUCUGGUCAAGAAAUUUGUGCGAAAACAUACCCUGGAACCAAGAUUUGACGGACCGUUCCAAGUUCUCCUGAUCUCCCCUACCUCUGUCAAAUUGUCCGGAAGGCCUAACUGGAUCCACGCUUCCCAUUGCAAGAAGACACCUGCCCCAGAGGAAGCUAACUCUAUGCAACCAUGUGCCUCUGGUACAUUAUCUCCUUAGUUGGCCUCCUUAAAGCCCAGCAGGUGGCCAUCACCAAAGAUGCUAGUGGGUACACUUUCUG
rnacentral:lncRNA from 1 species